CACAAAAAUAAACGACUAUAUUGUAGUAAACUCUGUAGAGUAGUGUAACUAUUGGACUGCUUUCAGCUGCAAAACCACUCAUAGAUUUUUGAUUCUGUCAAGUUAUUAGUAUUGGAGACUCAGUUUCCGUUGAUUCCAUAUCUCAAAUUAAACAGUACGUUCUUGGUUUUAAGUUGUUUAUAAUAAUAGUUGCACCGAUACUUUUAUCUUCUUUAUAAGGGGUAUACAUUUGUCAUAUAGGGGUUAGAAAAAGAAGAAAAAAUAACAAUUUUUUUUUAUUUUUCCAAGAAGUGUUAAGUGUUACGUUAUCUUUUCGUUCCUCGCAAUGCCAACUUAAAAGGCCUUUAAACACGAUAAAGCUAUCAUUUUAGUACACCAUUCAUAUUUAGUACCUUUUAUCACAAAAUAUAUUUCCAUUUUUACUUCUGUGCGCACUUCGUAGAGAAGGCGACAUUAGAGCUUCUAGAAAUCAGUUGUAUGGUGUUUUAUACUUUUCAAUUCAGUUAAUCAGUUCUUAUAAUCGUACUCGUAUUUGUUGCAAUUGUUCACAAGGCAUAACUGAGAUGUAAUCGAUAAUAAUCUCUCAAAUACUCCUGAUCAGAAGAAACACCAUGAAUAGCUCAAUGACUCUGCAAAAUAGUACGAGAAUAACUCUCGAAUGGUACGAUUACACAAUCUUUAGCAUCAUGUUUGCUGUUAGUACCUCAGCUGGAAUCUACUAUGGAUGCUUAGGAAAGAAACAAAAAACUAUAAGCGGAUAUUUAUUAGGAAAUAAGAGAAUAAAUGCAUUACCGAUUGCACUUUCUGUAGCUGUGGGACACUUUUCAGCCAUAACUCUAAUGGUGGCACCUGCUGAUGUUUACAAAUAUGGAGCGUUCCAGUGGCUUGGUUGCAUUUCCAUGGUCUUAUUGGUUAUAUUAUCUGUUUAUAUUUACUUCCCCGUGUUUUUCAACCUUCAACUAACAAGUGCAUACGAGUACUUGGAAAGAAGAUUCGAUAAAAAGACCAAGUUAUUAGCUUCCAUUUUAUAUCUGUUAUGUGAAUUUAUUUUUCUCGCUGUGGCUGUUUAUACACCGUCGUUGGCACUAUCAACCUCCACUGGAAUUCACGUUCAUUUAAUAUCUUCUACAACAUGUGCUAUAUGUGUUUUUUAUACUGCAAUCGGAGGACUACAAACAGUGGUUUGGACAGAUCUUUUCCAAUUUGGUGUAAUUAUAGUAUCAAUGCUCACAGUGUCUAUUAUUGGUACUAUUUCAAGUGGAGGUUUCAUAUCAGUAUGGGAGAACGCUUUAAAAGGCGACAGACUUAAUAUAUUUGAUUUUGAUCCAAAUCCAACGAAACGAGACAGUUUCUGGACUUAUUUCUUUGGAUAUACAGCUCAUUUUACUAACUACAUCAGUCUUACCCAAUCCGGAUUACAGAAAUUUUUAGCUCUACCAACGUUUCGUGAAAGUGUGUGGUCUGUGAUUUAUGUGGCUAUUUCCCUAAGCAUCGUAUAUACUUUCAUUGUCUUCAUUGGUCUUCUCAUGUAUGCACAAUAUUCAAAAUGUGAUCCCUUUACCAGAAAAAAAAUCCAAAGGCAUGAACAGAUCUUACCUUAUUAUAUUAUGGAUGUAGCUGGACACGUACCCGGUGUUUCGGGUUUUUUCUUAGUGGCUUUAUUUUGUGCUUCAUUGAGUACAAUAUCGUCUAGUUUAAAUGGGAUAGCUGGAGUAAUUUACAAAGAUUUCUUGUAUAAAUUUUUAAAUGAAAAUAUUAAGGAAAAAACUGUGACAAAUAUUUUGAAAUUGAUUGUAGCACUUUGUGGCAUUGCGAUCAUAGGUUUGGUUUUAAUAAUGCAGCAUUUGGGAGACAUUAUUCCGUUGGCUACUAGUAUUGCAGCAAUGUCACAAGGACCAUCUAUGGGCAUGUUCACUUUAGGCGUUCUGUUUCCAAAAGCAAAUGCUGAAGGUGCGUUUUAUGGAGCUAUUGGUGGUUUCAUUUUCACAGCAAGUAUCGGCAUGCCUUUGAAAUUUUACAAUUUAGAGAAAACGUUUGCCUACCCAUCAAAAUCUCUCUCAGUUGAAAAUUGCAGCGCUUCAAAUCAAACUGCAGAAUUUGAAUUUCAGCACAUAAAUCAUUCUCUUGUACAGUCUAGUACUUCUUCACCGUAUUUUGCUAGUAAAAGAAAACGAACAGAGGAAAAACUGCCACCUUUUAUGUUUCGCAUUUCGCACUUUUACCACACAUUUCUUGGUGCGCUUGUUACAGUAAUGUUAGGACUGGUAAUCAGUUACUUCACAAAUAAGGGUGAUAGUAUAACUGACAAAACAUUUUUGACUCCAUUUGUUCACAAGUUUGUACCACACAAGUUAGAUAAGCGAGAAAUGCAAAAUCUCGUAAAGCAUACUCGUAAUAAAUAAUAAAAAUAGGAUGAAUAAGUAAUCAAAUACUUCCAAUAAUUUAAAAUAAAAUUCUAUUUAGAAAUGAUAACCACUAUUAGAAAAACUUGUACCCUACCAGACAGAAGCAAGAAUAAAAAAUUGGGCGAAACAUUAUGAAAUUUGAUUUUCCGACCACAAAGAAGAAACACCAUGAAUAACUCUACUCUG